UCGGGAAUUUUGGGCAAUGGGCGAAAGCCUGACCCAGCAACGCCGCGUGAAGGAUGAAGUAUUUCGGUAUGUAAACUUCGAAAGAAUAGGAAGAAUAAAUGACGGUACUAUUUAUAAGGUCCGGCUAACUACGUGCCAGCAGCCGCGGUAAUACGUAGGGACCAAGCGUUGUUCGGAUUUACUGGGCGUAAAGGGCGCGUAGGCGGCAAUUCAAGUCAUCUGUGAAAUCUCCGGGCUCAACUCGGAACGGUCAGAUGAUACUGCUUUGCUAGAGUGCAGAAGGGGCAAUCGGAAUUCUUGGUGUAGCGGUGAAAUGCGUAGAUAUCAAGAGGAACACCUGAGGUGAAGACGGGUUGCUGGGCUGACACUGACGCUGAGGCGCGAAAGCCAGGGGAGCAAACGGGAUUAGAUACCCACGUAGUCCCUGAGCGGGCUGGCAAGGCGCAU
rnacentral:rRNA from 1 species